rnacentral:rRNA from 1 species
UACGUAGGUGGCAAGCGUUUGUCCGGAAUUAUUGGGCGUAAAGCGCGCGCAGGCGGUCCUUUAAGUCUGAUGUGAAAGCCCACGGCUCAACCGUGGAGGGUCAUUGGAAACUGGGGGACUUGAGUGCAGAAGAGGAAAGCGGGAAUUCCACGUGUAGCGGUGAAAUGGCGUAGAGAUGUGGAGGAACACCAGUGGCGAAGGCGGCUUUCUGGUCUGUAACUGACGCUGAGGCGCGAAAGCGUGGGGAGCAAACAGG